CAGUUCAAGGUAAACUGGAGGUUCAAUUGGGAUGCAAUGAAGAGCCCCUGACAAGCAUAUUCUUCAAAGCCUCCCAUGGUGUAACUGAAGAUACGAUAUGUGAAGUAGCCCUAGCUUGCCUGCUCAAGAGGUGUCCUUUCACAUGCAGAGGAAUGUGUAGAUGGACAUAUAUUUGAAUAAGAUACUGAACCUAAGACUACUGCAUUAGAGCCUCGUACAAGACUUCUAAGACUGUUGACUGCCUACCAUGGAUAUUCAGGCAUCUGCAGAUACAUCCCUUUGAAAAAUGAAUCCUUCUCACUAGAGACCAUAGAGAGAACCUGCAUUUCAAUGAUAAUUAAAUGUCAUUUCAAGACAUCAAAUCAAAAUAUCAAAGUGAGAAUGGAAUAAAUUUAUUAGGACAGUGUGUUGCGAACAACUUCUUUCACAAACAGCCUUGGAAGGAGAGUUCUGAAAUUUUGCAUUUUAUAUUUGACUUUGCUCGUACUCUGACACAAUCAGCUCAGAGCUGUUUGGGACUUUAUGGGCAAUUAAACGCGACAAACAGAGCUGAAUGCAUCAUAUACUCUGCCGUGAAGAACAGUGAAGAACAACCAUGCUAAAGCUAUUCAUCUGUUUCUCAAACAACAUCCUCAUACAAGUGUGGACUUCUGUGGGUUGUUGGAUGAAUAGGUUAAAACACUGGCUGAGAGUUGCCAAGGCAGAUGUGGGAUGGUACAUGCUUGGGGCAUGAAAGGCCUGUGUGUAGAUCAUAAACAACUUCAUAAUAUUCAUUGCUUUAAUAAUUACUAGGAAGUGGACUUCUGUAAAAUGACUUCAGAAGACCAGCAUGGUAGGCAAACAGUAACUGAUUCCCUGGAGAUUUAAAUGAUCUGGCUUGUGAAACAUGGACUUAGAAGUAGAGACAUGUCAGAACAUGAAGACUGGAAAAUCAAACCUCUGUUGCCUCUUAAGUUUCCCUACCCCAUGGUUUGAGGCAAACAGCAACAGAUUUUUUUGCACUGAGGAAUAGAAUAAAAGCGAAUUUGUUCUAAAUCCCAAUCCUAUGAAAAUACUGAAGUCAUCUGUGACGCACUUCAACUCUCAGCAUGGUUGAAUGUCUGCUGUCAGCAUGGGCUUUUACAGCCAUCCCUUUUAUAAAUGCAGAGCUCCAAACUGCUUCAGCAACAUCAUUAUAUCCUCUUUCUGUUGCAUGGAGAUUAGAUCACUGUGACUACCUAUGCAGUCUUUCUCUACCUUUAAAGAUCCAAGGAACUAUUCUCACUCCAGUGACCUGUUAGAACCCGUUGACAGCUCACAAGUGGCUGUAAUUUCAGCAUCACGGAACCUCACACCUUCUUCAACCUCCUGGACAGUAGGCAUGCAUGUGUUGCACAUGUGAACAAGCAUAUGUACAACUAAAAGUAUAAAAACAGAAGAGCAGUUCCUGCUUGACAUAAUUUGAUUUUCGUGAAUAUUCAUAGUAAUGAUCACAGUCAAAUAAACACUUUAUUGUU